GUGGGGAAUAUUGGGCAAUGGGCGCAAGCCUGACCCAGCAACGCCGCGUGAAGGAAGAAGGCUUUCGGGUUGUAAACUUCUUUUACCAGGGACGAAACAAAUGACGGUACCUGGUGAAUAAGCCACGGCUAACUACGUGCCAGCAGCCGCGGUAAUACGUAGGUGGCGAGCGUUAUCCGGAUUUAUUGGGUGUAAAGGGCGUGUAGGCGGGACAGCAAGUCAGAUGUGAAAACCAGAGGCUCAACCUCUGGCCUGCAUUUGAAACUGUUGUUCUUUAGUGUCGGAGAGGUAAUCGGAAUUCCGUGUGUAGCGGUGAAAUGCGUAGAUAUACGGAGGAACACCAGUGGCGAAGGCGGAUUACUGGACGAUAACUGACGCUGAGGCGCGAAAGCGUGGGGAGCAAACAGGAUUAGAUACCCUUGUAGUCC
rnacentral:rRNA from 1 species